rnacentral:rRNA from 1 species
UACGGAGGGUGCGAGCGUUGUUCGGAAUUACUGGGCGUAAAGGGCGCGUAGGCGGCCAUCUAAGUCAGACGUGAAAUCCCCCGGCUUAACCUGGGAACUGCGUCUGAUACUGGAAGGCUUGAGUAUGGGAGAGGGAUGUAGAAUUCCAGGUGUAGCGGUGAAAUGCGUAGAUAUCUGGAGGAAUACCGGUGGCGAAGGCGGCAUCCUGGACCAUUACUGACGCUGAGGCGCGAAAGCUAGGGGAGCAAACGGG